rnacentral:rRNA from 1 species
GAUUAACGCUGGCGGCGUGCCUAACACAUGCAAGUCGAGCGGCAGCGAGUUUUACACUGAAUUCUGGAAGCUUCUAGUUGAAAGAGAAGAUUUAUUCAAGAAUUUUGUGUAAAAUGUCGGCGAGCGGCGGACGGCUGAGUAACGCGUGGGAACGUACCCCAAAGUGAGGGAUAACGCAUCGAAAGGUGUGCUAAUACCGCAUAUGGUCUUCGGAUUAAAGCCUUCGGGCGCUUUGGGAACGGCCCGCGUAAGAUUAGAUAGUUGGUGGGGUAAUGGCCUACCAAGUCGACGAUCUUUAACUGGUUUGAGAGGAUGAUCAGUCAGACUGGAACUGAGACACGGUCCAGACUCCUACGGGAGGCAGCAGUGAGGAAUCUUCCACAAUGGGCGAAAGCCUGAUGGAGCAACGCCGCGUGCAGGAUGAAGGCCUUCGGGUUGUAAACUGCUUUUAUAAGUGAGGAUUAUGACAGUAACUUAUGAAUAAGGAUCGGCUAACUACGUG